GUGCUCCUCCUGCAGCGGACGGAAGAUGCUGGGCCACGCAAGUUUCCCUGGGCUUGGUUAACCACCCCAAAGCCCAUUUCCAGAAGGAAAGGGUGUUGAGGAGGAGGGAUAGAAAGUCGAGAAGAGGGCCGGGUGGAGUGGCUCACGCCUGUCAUCCCAGCACUUUGGGAGGCCGAGACAGGCGGAUCACCUGAGGUCAGGACUUAGAGACCAGCCUGGCCUACAUGGUGAAACCCCGUCUCUACUAAAAAUACAAAAAUUAGCCGGGUGUGGUGCCGUGCGCCUGUAGUCCCAGCAACUCGGGAGGCUGAGGUAGGAGAAUCGCUUGAACCCGGGAGUCGGAGGUUGCAGUGCUGAGAUGGCACCUGGCCUGGGCGACAAGAGCGAAACUCCAUCUCAAAAAAAAAAAAGAAGAGGAAAUGAGACAUAGGGGCAGGCGAGCCGGGAAAAUAUUGCUACUAAGGAUCCUAAGCAGUGAACAUGCUGUUAAUACUUAGAUGAGAUCUUGCUCUGUCACCCAGACUGGAGUGCAGUGGCACGAUCAUAGCUCACUGCACCUUCAAACUCCUGGACUCAA
rnacentral:antisense_RNA from 1 species